AUUGAACGCUGGCGGCAGGCCUAACACAUGCAAGUCGAGCGGAUGAAGGGAGCUUGCUCCUGGAUUCAGCGGCGGACGGGUGAGUAAUGCCUAGGAAUCUGCCUGGUAGUGGGGGAUAACGUCCGGAAACGGGCGCUAAUACCGCAUACGUCCUGAGGGAGAAAGUGGGGGAGGUUCGGAACUCACGCUAUCAGAUGAGCCUAGGUCGGAUUAGCUAGUUGGUGGGGUAAAGGACUACCAAGGCGACGAUCCGUAACUGGUCUGGGGGGAUGGUCAGUCACACUGGAACUGAGACACGCACCAGACUCCUACGGGAGGCAGCAGUGGGGAAUAUUGGACAAUGGGCGAAAGCCUGAUCCAGCCAGGCCGAGUGUGUGAAGAAGGUCUUCGGAUUGUAAAGCACUUUAAGUUGGGAGGAAGGGCAGUAAGUUAAUACCUUGCUGUUUUGACGUUACCAACAGAAUAAGCACCGGCUAACUUCGUG
rnacentral:rRNA from 1 species